rnacentral:rRNA from 1 species
GACGAACGCUGGCGGCGUGCUUAACACAUGCAAGUCGAACGAAGUGGCGAACGGGUGAGUAACGCGUAAUCAACCUGCCCUUCAGAGGGGGACAACAGUUGGAAACGACUGCUAAUACCGCAUACUGAAGGAGGGGAUUGCGUCUGAUUAGCUAGUUGGAGGGGUAACGGCCCACCAAGGCGAUGAUCAGUAGCCGGUCUGAGAGGAUGAACGGCCACAUUGGGACUGAGACACGGCCCAGACUCCUACGGGAGGCAGCAGUGGGGAAUUUUGGACAAUGGGCGCAAGCCUGAUCCAGCCAUGCCGCGUGUCUGAAGAAGGCCUUCGGGUUGUAAAGGACUUUUGUCAGGGAAGCGGUACCUGAAGAAUAAGCACCGGCUAACUACGUGCCAGCAGCCGCGGUAAUAC